ensembl:lincRNA Gm16892 predicted gene, 16892
GGUCGAGGGGCGGAGCCUCGAUGAGCUUUGAGGAUUUUACUGUUUUGUUUUGUGCUGUGCUGUAAUGUAGACAGAUUUUAUAAAAAUCAUCCCAUGGUCGGAAGCUGUUCCGGCUCUCUCAGCACAGUGACUAGUCUGAGCAAGCUGCGAAACAAAGCAGACGGCGUCCGUCUUUCAGAGAAUUAUCAUUAACGACUCUGGUGUGAAAUUUGCUACAGCGUAACUGAAAUCAUGCACCAGUGUAGAAGCCACAGAUACCAGGAAGAUGCUCACAGAUGACACUGUUCCAGGAGCGGAGCACCUCAGUGCUCUCCGCCAACACCCACUCACCAAAAGCCAGAAGGAGCCUGCACUUAAUGGGCUCUAUUAAUUCAGGGAAAGUGAUGCUUGAUGUCCGGCUUGUUGAUCCAGGUCUGGAUGUUGACAACCUCUUUCCUAUCAUCAUCUGACAUGGACGAGCUGUCGAUUUCAUCUGGGAGGGAAGAGAAGGGUUAAGGCCAUCAGCACCUUCUUAGCAUGUGACACUUCUUAGCAUGUGACACUUCUUAGCAUGUGGACACUUCUUAGCAUGUGAACACUUCUUAGCAUGUGAACACUUCUUAGCAUGUGGACACUUCUUAGCAUGUGGACACUUCUUAGCAUGUGGACACUUCUUAGCAUAUGGACACUUCUUAGCAUGUGACACUUCUUAGCAUGUGGACACGUCUUAGCAUGUGGACACUUCUUAGCAUGUGGACACACUGCUUAGCAACCACAAACUAUUGGUUGUGUUCUUAAAGUAGGGCAUGACAGUGAGAAACAAAAGGAAGCACUUCAAAUCCUGCUGGUUCUGUUACAGAGACACGGGAAACAACCCUUACAGUAAGCAAGUCCACUCAAACUCCUGGGAGUACAUGUUGCACUUUUGAGAAAAGAUGUCACAACUGUGGCCUGGCAUGUCAGUGAGAAGCACCUUUCUCGAGGCAGGGAAGGCAGUGUUCCCCUUUGCCAGUUUCUGACUUAAUAAACAGCACAGGGGAAACUUCCUGAAGGGAACACCAAUAGCUUAUGCUCUAAGAACAACAAUCGACAAAUGGGACUCAGAAAACUGCAAAGCAGCUGUAAGGCAAAGGGCACUGUCAAUAGGACAAAAUGGCAACUAACAGAUCGGGAAAAGAUCUUUACCAAUCCUACAUCCGAUAGAGGGCUAAUAUCCAAUAUAUACAAAGAACUCAAGAAGUUAGACUCCAGAGAAUCAAAUAACCCUAUUAAAAGAAAUGGGACACAGAGCUAAACAAAGAAUUCUCAACCGAGGAAAGUCUAAUGGCCAAGAAGCACCUAAAGAAAUGUUCAACAUCCUUUGAUGUUUUGGUAAAUCUCCAACCCAAAUAUGCCCCAGCAAUGAAAACACAACUCAAUUAAU